rnacentral:tRNA from 1 species
AAGAAUUAACAUUAGGGCUGCUACCCUUAACCACUGAACUUAACUGAACAGAAUUCUU